rnacentral:lncRNA from 1 species
GACUUUCUGUCGGUGGCUAGAGAAUUCCUUGAAAGGUUUGCCAAAGGAGACAACGGUGGGAGCUGUCACAGUGACACAUAAACAACUUACAGAUUUCCACAAGCAAGUCACUAGGAAUGUCUUUUUUCAUUAGAAGACAGGAAGAAAACAACCCAGACUGUGUCCCACAAUCAGAAACCUCCGUUGUGGCAGAGGGGCCUUCACGACCACCAUACCAUCCCGCCACACAGGGAGAGACUUCACCCUCCAAGGCAUCCUAAGGAGUCCCUGUUUGGGGUGUGAGGGGGAAACAGCGCGCGGUAUUUAAGGAUGGCUACAGCCUGUCCGGCGUGGUGGGAGGGAACUAGUUUCCUGGUGAACUUCUUUCUAAAAGGAAAAAUAAUUUAAGGAAAGUUAAA